AAUUGCAGUGUUUUGCAUGCAAAAUAUAAAAAAUUUAAAUUGUCCUGAUUCUAUUUUGUAAAUGGAGAAACAAUCAUAUCUUUCUAAGCGGUAAUGGAGGAAGACUAGUGCUUUGUGCAUUUUGAUAUAUUUGAGUUCAUUUUUUCCACAAUGUCAUACUUUUGACGCAGUUGGGUUUCUCAUAAGUAUCCUAGUUCAUGUACAUCCGAAUGCUAAAUAAUACUGUGUUUUAAGUUUUGUGUUGCAAGAACAAAUGGAAUAAACUUGAAUUGUGCUACAGCUAAUGUGUCAGCAGCAUUUUUCUCAGUUAUUAUCACCUUCCUUUU
rnacentral:lncRNA from 1 species